GAAUGGAGCCCGCAUUCACGAUGGGCAAGGAGGGCUUAUAUUCGGAACACUUCUCCAUCCCUUUCCCACCCCGGAUGGCUGACCUGCUGAGUUCUACCGGCACUUUGGAGGGGAAUGAACGGGUGACGUGUCGGGUCUGGACAC